rnacentral:sRNA from 1 species
CUGUUCUCCCAAUACUCAGUGAGAAAACAACCACAGGAAAUCUGGGAAUGUGCAGCUAGCCCCGCUUAAUUGAUCUAAGCAGCCAGGGCCGGCAGGGGAGCUUUCACGUACACAGCCUCUGUUCUUGGCUUGCAGGACUGUUUACCUAAGGGGCAAAGAAGUCCACCUGCGAAAGACACCAUGUUGCUACUACAGCCUUAGCAACAGCAGUAGCCCGGUUUUCGUUGUUGUUGUUGUUUACAGUCAGGAGAGCCAUACUCCUUUAAGAAAACACCAAACUCCUUUCCCUCAUUCCUGGCCCCAAUCAGUAAUCACCAAGACUGUCAGCUGCCUGCAGUUAUCGGGAAGAGCAGCCUGGGGAAAGUUAAAGGAGCACAGAUGGACAGUUGCUUUCUGCAUGCAAGUGGCCAGCUAGGAUCUGGGGGGCAUCAAGCCGUGAUUUUUAUUUCUGUGCUGGAUGCAUUAGCAGCUGUGACUUGGAAGGUUUUAUCCUGAAGGAGUGGAAUUGCUGCAGACGUUUUUGGGUUUUGGUGAGCAGUAGAUAUUUGGGGACAUUGUGCUGUUAUUGCAGAGCCCCACAAUGAAGAUCCAGGAGCAUCCCAGCCUAUCUGACACCAAACAGCAGAGGAAUCAAGAUGCCGGUGACCAGGAGGAGAGCUUUGUCUCUGAAGUGCCCCAGUUGGACCUGACUGCAUUGUGUGAUGAAAAGAACUGGGAAGAGCCUAUCCCUGCUUUCUCCUCCUGGCAGCGGGAGAACAGUGACUCUGAUGAAGCCCACCUCUCGCCGCAGGCUGGGCGUCUGAUCCGUCAGCUGCUGGACGAAGACAGUGACCCCAUGCUCUCUCCUCGGUUCUACGCUUACGGGCAGAGCAGACAAUACCUGGAUGACACAGAAGUGCCUCCUUCCCCACCAAACUCUCAUUCUUUCAUGAGGCGGCGAAGCUCCUCUCUGGGGUCCUAUGAUGAUGAGCAAGAGGACCUGACACCUGCCCAGCUCACACGAAGGAUUCAGAGCCUUAAAAAGAAGAUCCGGAAGUUUGAAGAUAGAUUCGAAGAAGAGAAGAAGUACAGACCUUCCCACAGUGACAAAGCAGCCAAUCCAGAGGUUCUGAAAUGGACAAAUGACCUUGCCAAAUUCCGGAGACAACUUAAAGAAUCAAAACUAAAGAUAUCUGAAGAGGACCUAACUCCCAGGAUGCGGCAGCGAAGCAACACACUCCCCAAGAGUUUUGGUUCCCAACUUGAGAAAGAAGAUGAGAAGAAGCAAGAGCUGGUGGAUAAAGCAAUAAAGCCCAGUGUUGAAGCCACAUUGGAAUCUAUUCAGAGGAAGCUCCAGGAGAAGCGAGCGGAAGGCAGCCGCCCUGAGGACAUUAAGGAUAUGACCAAAGACCAGAUUGCUAAUGAGAAAGUGGCUCUGCAGAAGGCUCUGUUAUAUUAUGAAAGCAUUCAUGGACGGCCGGUAACAAAGAACGAACGGCAGGUGAUGAAGCCACUAUAUGACAGGUACCGGCUGGUCAAACAGAUCCUGUCCCGAGCUAACACCAUACCCAUCAUUGAAGAAGAGGAAGGGUCAGAAGAUGAUAGCAAUGUGAAGCCAGACUUCAUGGUCACUCUGAAAACCGAUUUCAGUGCACGAUGCUUUCUGGACCAAUUCGAAGAUGAUGCUGAUGGGUUUAUUUCCCCAAUGGAUGAUAAAAUACCAUCAAAAUGCAGCCAGGACACAGGACUUUCAAAUCUCCAUGCUGCCUCAAUACCUGAACUCCUGGAACACCUCCAGGAAAUGAGAGAAGAAAAGAAAAGGAUUCGAAAGAAACUUCGGGAUUUUGAAGACAACUUUUUCAGACAGAACGGAAGAAAUGUCCAGAAGGAAGACCGCACUCCUAUGGCUGAAGAAUACAGUGAAUAUAAGCACAUAAAGGCGAAACUGAGGCUCCUGGAGGUGCUCAUCAGCAAGAGAGACACUGAUUCCAAGUCCAUGUGAGGGGCAUGGCCAAGCACAGGGGGCUGGCAGCUGUGGUGAGAGUUUACUGUCUCCAGAGAAAGUGCAGCUCUGGAAGGCAGCCUUGGGGCUGGCCCUGCAAAGCAUGCAGCCCUUCUGCCUCUAGACCAUUUGGCAUCGGCUCCUGUUUCCAUUGCCUGCCUUAGAAACUGGCUGGAAGAAGACAAUGUGACCUGACUUAGGCAUUUUGUAAUUGGAAAGUCAAGAUUGCAGUAUGUGCACAUGCGCGCGCGCGCACACACACACACACACACACACACACACACACACACACACACACACACACACACACACACACACACACACACACACACAGUAGUGGAGCUUUCCUAACACUAGCAGAGAUGAAUCACUACAUUAGACAACACUCAUCUACAGAGAAUAUACACUGUUCUUCCCUGGAUAACUGAGAAACAUGAGACCAUUCUCUGUCUAACUGUGACAAAAACAAGCUCAGGACUUUAUUCUAUAGAGCAAACUUGCUGUGGAGGGCCAUGCUCUCCUUGGACCCAGUUAAGUGCAAACGUGCAUUGGAGCCCUAUUUGCUGCCGCUGCCAUUCUAGUGACCUUUCCACAGAGCUGCGCCUUCCUCACAUGUGUGAAAGGUUUUCCCCUUCAGCCCUCAGGUAGAUGGAAGCUGCAUCUGCCCACGAUGGCAGUGCAGUCAUCAUCUUCAGGGUGUUUCUUCAGGACUUCCUCAGCUGACAAGGAAUUUUGGUCCCUGCCUAGGACCGGGUCAUCUGCAGAAGACAGAGAGAUGGUAAGCAGCUGUAUGAAUGCUGAUUUUAAAACCAGGUGAUGGGAGAAGAGCCUGGAGAUUCUUUCCUGAACACUGACUGCACUUACCAGUCUCAGAUUUUAUCGUCAAACACCAAGCCAGGCCAGCAUGCAACCUGUUUGGGGCUGUUUUGUUGUGGCACUAGCCAAACAUAAAGGGGCUUAAGUCAGCCUGCAUACAGAGGAUCGGGGAGAGAAGGGGCCUGUGUUCUCUGCCUCCUGAGUACUUACCAGAGUUUAAUUUUUUUAAAAAAAAAAAUCUGCACUAAAAUCCCCAAACUGACAGGUAAAUGUAGCCCUCAGAGCUCAGCCCAAGGCAGAAUCUAAAUCACACUAUUUUCGAGAUCACGUAUAAAAAGAAAGUCAUGCUGUGUGGCCAAUUAUAAUUUUUUUCAAAGACUUUGUCACAAAACUGUCUAUAUUAGACAUUUUGGAGGGACCAGGAAAUGUAAGACACCAAAUCAUCCAUCUCUUCAGUGUGCUUGAUGUCGCCUCGUGAUUUGCUGUUACUUUUUUAACUCCUGCGCCAAGGACAGUGGGUUCUGGGUCCACCUUUGUGCUUUGCGAGGCCGAGCCCAGGCGUCUGCUCGCCUGCCACGGCUGACCAGAGAAGGUGCUUCAGGAGCUCUGCCUUUGACGACGUGUUACAGUAUGAACACACAGCAGAGGCACCCUCCUGUAUGUUUUGAAAGUUGCCUUCUGAAAGGGCACAGUUUUAAG